CUUUAAGUGUGUGUUUUGGUCGUGAAUCGCAGGAGAGCCAGGGGGUUCCAUGCCCAAACCCUAGCCAGCAAAAAUCAAGCAAUUGAGAAGCCAAAUCGACUCCAAAUUGAAAUCUAAGCUUGGAUUAGUGAUCACUUCAGUGAAAGGAUCAUAAGUUUGUCGCCUAACGAGCUAGGUGGAGGCUUGGGAUAGAAGCGGUCAAACGAAUCAAGUACGAGAAGAAAAGCAUAUUCGGAUGCGAGGAAAUAACAUAAGUAUGCGUUGCUUAAACUAGAAAGCUUUAAAGCAAAAGUUAUGUAAACGGGUCAAUACCUUGACCCGAGCCAGGUACACUUUGGGAUGCCGGAAGACGAUCAAGCUCAACGAAGAACCGAACACACUAUAGAUACACGCUUCCGCACUUUGCUAUGUUGUAAAUUUUAAACAACGAAUUCAACUACGUGAUGUAGAAUAACUUAUGAUUUGUAAAAGUUUUAGUAAACCCGUAUUUUCGAUGUAUAUGUAAUUGUAAUUACAUGAUUGUUUUCGAAUAAGAUUCAUUAAACCUUAAAUUA
rnacentral:lncRNA from 1 species